AUUGAACGCUGGCGGCAGGCUUAACACAUGCAAGUCGAACGAGUGGCGGACGGGUGAGUAACGUCUCGGAAACUACCUGAUGGUGGGGGAUAACUACUCGAAACGGUAGCUAAUACCGCAUAUCAUCGGAUGUGCCCAUAUCGGAUUAGCUAGUAGGUGGGGUAAAGGAUCACCUAGGCGACGAUCCGUAGCGGGUAUGAGAGGAUGACCAGCCACACUGGAACGGAGACACGGCCCAGACUCCUACGGGAGGCAGCAGUGGGGAAUAUUGCACAAUGGGCGCAAGCCUGAUGCAGCCAUGCCGCGUGUAUGAAGAAGGCCUGCGGGUUGUAAAGGACUUUCAGCAGGGAGGCGUUACCCGCAGAAGAAGCACCGGCUAACUCCGUGCCAGCAGCCGCGGUAAUUC
rnacentral:rRNA from 1 species